rnacentral:rRNA from 1 species
GUCGAGCGAACGGACGAGGAGCUUGCUCCUCUAACGUUAGCGGCGGACGGGUGAGUAACACGUGGAUAACCUACCUAUAAGACUGGGAUAACUUCGGGAAACCGGAGCUAAUACCGGAUAAUAUAUUGAACCGCAUGGUUCAAUAGUGAAAGACGGUUUUGCUAUCACUUAUAGAUGGAUCCGCGCCGCAUUAGCUAGUUGGUAAGGUAACGGCUUACCAAGGCAACGAUGCGUAGCCGACCUGAGAGGGUGAUCGGCCACACUGGAACUGAGACACGGUCCAGACUCCUACGGGAGGCAGCAGUAGGGAAUCUUCCGCAAUGGGCGAAAGCCUGACGGAGCAACGCCGCGUGAGUGAUGAAGGUCUUCGGAUCGUAAAACUCUGUUAUUAGGGAAGAACAAAUGUGUAAGUAACUAUGCACGUCUUGACGGUACCUAAUCAGAAAGCCACGGCUAACUACGUGCCAGCAGCCGCGGUAAUACGUAGGUGGCAAGCGUUAUCCGGAAUUAUUGGGCGUAAAGCGCGCGUAGGCGGUUUUUUAAGUCUGAUGUGAAAGCCCACGGCUCAACCGUGGAGGGUCAUUGGAAACUGGAAAACUUGAGUGCAGAAGAGGAAAGUGGAAUUCCAUGUGUAGCGGUGAAAUGCGCAGAGAUAUGGAGGAACACCAGUGGCGAAGGCGACUUUCUGGUCUGUAACUGACGCUGAUGUGCGAAAGCGU